CUUGUGGCUGUGGUGGUGUUAGUGAGAAAAAAAUAAACUGCUUUGGAUCGCAACAGGAAAUUAGUUCUGGGAUAAAUUCAUCGUAAUUACGAUUCAAACACGAGGAUAAAUGUUUAACUGACGAGAGUAAUUGACGACUGGUCAUUUUUGAAAAAUAUUAAUGAACCACUCGAGAUAAUAUAACAUCCCUUGGAAUAUAGUACAUGAAUUACAGAUUCCAAAGAAGAAAUGGGCUAUUUUUAAGACUGAAAGAUAUACUAAACUAUUCUCCCAAGCAUCUCGUUCACAUAAUGGAUAGUCGAACCCAUCUUAUGCGAAUAUCAACUGAAGAAAUGUGUUUUUUCCAAGCUGAUCAGGGAGGAAGGAUUUAAUUUAUGACAGUUAUGACUCCUCGUGGAUGAAUCAUCGGAAUUAAAUUUCCAGAAUAAUUAUCUUACCCGGGUAAUGGUUUAUCGAGGGGAUAUUCGCACGUUACUCCCGUCUCGCCAUUCUGAGGACUCCUUAGCUCUAACAGCCGAACGGAUGAAUUUCAAUUAAGGCCUGAGAUGGUCUGGUCAGAUACUCACAAAGUUGUACGAAUACGUGAAGAAAUUCGGUAAGGAAUAGAAUUUUUCAUACGAAUCAAGAAGGGCCGUGUACACCAAAUUAUUCAAUUAGUUUUCACUUGCUGAAGGACUCGAAUGAAUUUUAAUCUAUGACGGUGUGAUAAGCCCCUUCCCCACUCCGUAAUAUUUACCAACUAUCUAUUCAAUAUAAUUUCGAAGAGAUCAGAUGGAUUAAAACAGAUAUUGGGAUCAGCGCAUGUAAUUGAUUAUUUUGUACUGGCAUUAUUAUGAAAAUCGUAGACGAUCAAAUUCGAAAGAUCAGAAAUCACGAGCUCUUUAUCAAGAAUCAAAUUUCUUUCAUCGUCGGUGGUAGUGAUGCAAUAUUUAUUGGUCGAGCACUUUUGAUUGAUCUCUCACUCUUGGAUUCAAUGUAAAAUUCACGCACUCGAGGCGACGAUUGCGCGCGUACUCUGAACGACACUAAUUGCCAUCGUUGAAACUCGAGAUUCUAAGUUCAUGUAUUCAUCAUACUUCCUGCAUAUACC